CCUCACGGUACUUGUUUGCUAUCGGUCUCGCCCCUGUACUUAGCUUUAUGUGAAACCUACCACACAUUUUGCGCUCAAAUCCCGAUGAACGCGACUCUAUAAAAGCGUACCGUACGUGGAACAAAAAACGCGGGGGAGGGAGGGGAUUCUCACCCUCUAAGAUGUUCUUUCCCAAGAAACUUAACCCUGCGCUUCCAGUGGAAACGCCUCUCGAGGCUACAAGUCAACAGCUCAGAAAGAGCAGGAGAUUUCCACUUUGAGCUGAUCCCGGCUCACUCGCCGUUACUAGGGGAAUCAUAGAUAUUUUCUUCUCCUCCGCUUAAUAAUAUGCUUAAGUUCAGCGGGUAACCUCGCCUGAUUUCAGGUCUG
rnacentral:rRNA from 1 species